rnacentral:rRNA from 1 species
AUGAUUUGACGAAAGAAAAUCUGUCUUAGCUUAUUAAAAAAAAAUUAACCUAGAAGUUAAAAGGCUUCUAUUUCCUAAAGGGACGACAAGACCCUAUAAAGCUUUAUUUAUAAUAUUUUUAUUUAUUUCAAUAAAAAAUAUAAAUUUAUAAAUUCUAUUGGGGCGAUAGAUAAAUAAACAUUAUUAACUAUAACGUUUUUAACGAAAUUUAUAAAAUAUUUUUAAAACCUACAACAAGUUACUUUAGGGAUAACAGCAUAAUUUCUUUUUAGAGUCCUUAUCGACAGAGAAGAUUAUGACCUCGAUGUUGGAUUAAG